GCUACGGGUGGCUGCAGUGGGGAAUAUUGCACAAUGGGGGAAACCCUGAUGCAGCGACGCCGCGUGAGCGAAGAAGUAUUUCGGUAUGUAAAGCUCUAACAGCAGGGAAGAAAAUGACGGUACCUGAGUAAGAAGCCCCGGCUAAAUACGGGCCAGCAGCCGCGGUAAUACGUAUGGAGCAAGCGUUAACCGGAUUUACUGGGCGGAAAGGGAGCGUAGGCGGCCUGCCAAGUCUGAGGUGAAAUACCGGGGCUCAACCCCGGGGCUGCAUUGGGAACUGGCCGGCUGGAGUGCCGGAGAGUCAGGCGGAAUUGCUAGUGUAGCGGUGAAAUGCGUAGAUAUUAGGAGGAACACCAGUGGCGAAGGCGGCCUGCUGGACGGUGACUGACGCGGAGGCUCGAAAGCGUGGGGAGCAAACAGGAUUAGAUACCCCGGUAGUC
rnacentral:rRNA from 1 species